GAGUACUACUUCAGUCAAAUUAUAGGGUAUCGAUGUAAAUAUGCUGUCUCCUAUUUGGAAUUUGUGUGUCAUGCUGUCCAACUAAUCAGAAUUUAGAAGAAAUUGCCCUUUAACGUGGUUGCCGAAAUUAACAGAGCAAGCACGUUUUGAACAGGUGAAGAGAUGCGAUGAGGGUAAGCUAGUAGCAAGAGUGAGAAGAAUAGGAGGAUGGAGAAUUGGGAAACGGAGGAGGUUGAAGGUGAAAGUCCCCUUCCGGUUCUGGAGGCUGUUGACUACAGAGGUGGAGCCUCGGUGAGAUCGAAAUCUGGGUCAUGGAGAUCCGCUGGGUUUAUCAUAGGUGUGGAAGUGGCGGAGAGGAUUGCAUAUUAUGGGAUUCAGGGGAACCUCAUAACCUACCUCACGGGCCCACUCCAUCAGACUACUGCCACCGCCGCCGAGAAUGUUAAUAUCUGGUCAGGAACUGCUUCCUUGCUUCCUCUCUUUGGGGCUUUCCUUGCUGAUUCUCUUCUCGGCCGCUACCGCACUAUAAUACUCGCUUCCUUCAUCUAUAUUUUGGGACUAGGCUUGUUAACACUAUCAGCUAUGCUUCCCUCUCCCACCGGUUCUGAGUGCCAAGUUGGCAAUGAAUUCAAAUCAUGCUCUCCUCAGUCGCAAAUAGUUUUGUUCUUUAUCUCUCUUUAUUUGGUCGCCAUUGGGCAAGGUGGGCAUAAGCCCUGUGUUCAGGCUUUUGGAGCAGAUCAAUUCGAUGAAAAACAUCCAAAGGAGUACAAAGAUAGAAGCUCUUUCUUUAUUGGUGGUAUUUUACUAUGUGUGCAGGUUGCAUGGCAACUCUUUCCAUCUUGAACUAUAUACAAGAUAACCUAAGUUGGGUUCUUGGAUUUGGAAUUCCUUGUGUUGCCAUGAUUAUUGCAUUGCUUGUUUUCAUGCUUGGAACAGUGACCUACAGGUUUAACAUUCAGCAGCGUGGCAAAAGCCCCUUUCUCAGAAUUGGCCGUGUAUUUGUUGCUGCUAUAAGAAAUCGCCGAUCCACCCUGUCAAGCACAGCUGUCAAAGCAGAACAAUUUGAGUUCCUCAACAAAGCAUUGUUAGUGCCAGAGGAUUCUAUAGAAGACGAGAGUUGUAGCCUUAGUGAGGUGGAAGAAGCAAAAGCAGUACUAAGGCUGGUUCCUAUUUGGGCUACAACUCUGGUUUAUGCUGUGGUGUUUGCUCAAGUUCCUACGUUCUUUACCAAGCAAGGGAUUACUAUGGAGAGAACAAUAUUUCCCGGCUUUGACAUACCCGCCGCUUCUCUUCAAACGCUUGUCACUGUGGCCAUUGUUCUCUUCAGCCCCAUCUAUGACCGCCUAUUUGUGCCAAUGGCAAGAGCUAUUACUGGCAAACCCUCGGGAAUCACAAUGCUGCAAAGAAUUGGGACUGGAAUAUCUAUAUCCAUAUUUACCAUAGUAUUUGCAGCCCUUGUUGAGAUGAAAAGAUUGAAAACAGCUCAAGAGUCUGGUGUUGUUGAUGAACCUAAUGCAACUGUUCCAAUGAGUAUAUGGUGGUUGAUUCCCCAAUAUUUCUUGUUCGGAGUCUCUGAAGUUUUUACCAUGGUUGGUCUGCAGGAAUUUUUCUAUGACCAGGUCCCAAAUGAACUAAGAAGCAUGGGUCUUGCUCUCUACUUGAGCAUCUUUGGUGUUGGGAGCUUUAUAAGUGGCUUUCUCAUUUCUGUGAUAGAGAAACUGUCUGGCAAAGAUGGACAAGACAGUUGGUUUGCCAAUAAUCUGAAUAAGGCGCAUGUUGAUUACUUUUAUUGGCUACUUGCUGGACUCAGUGUAAUGGGAUUGGCCUUGUUCAUUUGCUCUGCUAAAUCCUACAUUUACAAUCACCAAGGAAUCAGACGAGAAUUGUGAAUUGUCCGGUUCUGUCAAUUUUAGCUUUACUGUAUGGGAUGAAAAAUUAUAUUCUGUAUAAGGUACGAGUAUUUGUAUAUAAAAACCUCUGGACCUGGUGAAUUGUCAAUUCAUUUGCAUUCUGUUCAAGAUACGGGUUCUUUUUUCCCAUA